rnacentral:misc_RNA from 1 species
UGACUAUCGGGAAGGUGUAUCCAUGGUAACUGGUUGUUGUAGCUAGUUCUUCAUCAGGUUGUUCAAGUGUAGAACCGGUUCAAGAAUUUGUUCUGUGAUAGAUUAUUUAUAUAGAAAAUGUCUCUCUCUCUAUCUCACCAGACUUUCUUAUUCUUGCUGCUUUAACAGCCAUUUUCAUCAAAACUUUUGCAAAAAGUUCAUAAUAAUUGAUGCUUGAUAUUUCAUCAAUGUUUGAUGCAUUAUUUCUCAUGGUUUACUGUAAAAUCAAAUCGAAUCUUUCUAAGAAAUUUUUAAUGUCAAGGGUAUUGUUCACCUUUAUAGCAAGUAUUUGAUGAUAUUGUGACUCUGAAUUGAAAAAAAAACCCCAGAAGAUUUGUGUUAAGAUUGAAAUCUACUUAAGAUAUGUAUUUGUCAUUGUGUUUUAAUUAGCAGUAGCCCUGUUCAUUUUCUCUCAUCUCUGUACAUACCACAUUCCUGUCUCUACAUUCCAUGGCAUCUCAAAAAAAAAUUAUUACAGAAAUCCAAACUUGUUAAAUGUAUUUAAAACAAAAAAUGGCAUUUAUUUACUUUUUUCAGGGUUCAUUGUUUACUAUUUUAAUUUUUAUACAAAUAUUGGUUGUUUUGUGAAGAAUCCAUUCCAAUGUUUUGAAUAACAAGCUUGAUUGACUAAUGAUUUGCCAUUUAAUAUAAUUAUUAUUUUGUAAAGAAUCUGAGUUUCCAGUGUUUGUUGUACAGACAUGAUCAAAAGUCGGAUGUUUCUGAUUUGUUUUUCCCCUGAACAAGUCUACAGGCCUAUGUUGUUAUUGUUAAAGGUUGUUUUUGUUUUUUAAUCUUGUUUAUGAAUAAUAUAGAUGUCUGAACCACGGACUGACCAUGUAAUGCAUGCAAUGCAAGUUUUAUCAAAAGUAAGCCUAACCACAGUCUAUUUAAAUUGUGAAGGUCAAAGGUCAUCUAUCUUUGACCUGUCGUGAUUGAGUGAUGUUUACUGGUGUGUUAAUUUCUCUCUUUCUUUAGAAAUCCACAUGUAAAUCCAGACUGGUCACAAACUUGUGUCUAAUCAUUAGAUCUUCUGUAGUCAGUGGUACAAUAAACUUUUGUGUC